rnacentral:rRNA from 1 species
UCACCAGUUAAGGUCCCAAAAUUCAUGCUAAGUGGAAAAGGAUGUGGAGUUGCGCAGACAACUAGGACGUUGGCUCAGAAGCAGCCAUCAUUCAAAGAGUGCGUAAUAGCUCACUAGUCGAGUGACGCCGCGCCGAAAAUUUACCGGGGCUAAGCAUGAUACCGAAACUGUGGAUGUGCGUUUAUGCACGUGGUAGGAGAGCGUUCUAGCGGCGGUGAAGCAUGACCGAGAGGACAUGUGGAGCUUCUAGAAGUGAGAAUGCCGGUAUGAGUAACGAAAGACAGGUGAGAAUCCUGUCCGCCGCAAGACUAAGGUUUCCUGGGGCAGGCUCGUCCGCCCAGGGUAAGUCGGGACCUAAGGCGAGGCCGAGAGGCGUAGUCGAUGGACAACAGGUUGAAAUUCCUGUACUGCACCGAAUCGUUAUGAGCGAUGGAGGGACGCAGGAGGCUAGCAGCGCGUGGUGCUGGAUACCACGUUCAAGCGUCAAGUCUGAGAGUGAGUCAAAUGCUUGCUCUCAUAAGGACAAGGCGUGAUGAGGAGCGAAAUUAAAGUAGCGAAGGCUGCGACGUCACACUGCCGAGAAAAGCUUCUAGCCAGAGACGGUGCACCCGUACCGCAAACCGACACAGGUAGUCGAGGAGAGUAUCCUCAGGUGAGCGAGAGAACUCUCGUUAAGGAACUCGGCAAAAUGGCCCCGUAACUUCGGGAGAAGGGGCG